CCCUGGGGGAGCAGUAGGGAGCAUAGGAGACGCCUGUGGCAGCAGGGCCCCUGUGUACCUUGCAGUAAAAGUAGCGGCUGACAGCUUCUUGGGACCAGGGCUGGUGAUAGAAUUCGGCCCGGCGCUCCUCCUCGGGGUUCCCAGCAACAUCAGUCAUCACCUGGGUAGGGGGAGCGUGGGGUCAGCCGUGCCACCCUGGGGGCUGUUGUCACUGUCUGCUGAUGUGCUUAUCUUCCACUGCAGUCCUCCCUGGGUCUCCCUCCUCACCUUGAGGUCCCGGCUCUGGGAGCGCAACAGGUCCUGGACGUAGCCUUUGGGGUCUCUGGAGAAGCUUAGCAUGAAGUCCCUCUGGAUCUUGAGCUGGUUUAUGGACUCGAUCGUCUCAUGGAUCUACAGCUUGCUCUGGCUUCUGCGGUCUCCUGGCCUGCACCAGCUCUGGCCUUGGGCCCCACCUUACUGUCCAGGGCGCUGAUCUCCUGCUGGUUGGCCGUGGACAGGAGGAAGCUGCUCAUCUGCCCCUUCAGUGGCUCCUCCACCUCCACGUCAAUGUCGUAGCAUGCCGUCUUCUUCU